GACGAACCGUGCGAACGUUGUUCGGAAUCACUGGGCUUAAAGGGCUCGUAGGCGGCCAACUAAGUCAGACGUGAAAUCCCUCAGCUUAACUGGGGAACUGCGUCUGAUACUGGAUGGCUUGGAUUCGGGAGAGGAAUGCGGAAUUCCAGGUGUAGCGGUGAAAUGCGUAGAUAUCUGGAGGAACACCGGUGGCGAAGGCGGCAUUCUGGACCGACAUUGACGCUGAGGAGCGAAAGCCAGGGGAGCAAACGGG
rnacentral:rRNA from 1 species